CCGCCAAAUGUCAAUCACAUUUCAUCUUUGACCGAUCCUACCUUUGGUAGAAACUAGCAGCAACAGAUGCAAUUCACAUGAUGACAUCUUACAUGAAUGGCACUAACUAUUCAAGCUAUUGUUCUUUUUCCUCAUAAAAAAUUAUUACCUACUAAUAAUUGUUACAUGGUGCACAAAAGGAAAGAUCGAUAGUUCUAUCCCUG
rnacentral:lncRNA from 1 species